CAGUAAGGAGUGUGAGACACAUCAGUGUCCUCAGAUACACAUCUGUCUACUCAUCUCUGGGAGGGUCAACAAGGAGCUGCUGGCCAGGGUCACCUCCUGGGAGGGGGCUGGGGAACUGGGGAUGGGAAUGGGGGAUAUAUCCCAGGCAAGUAAGAAGACUUGGUCAAAAGGACUGCAAGAUAUCCAGACUUCACAUGAAUUUAAGAAAUAAAACAGACGCGGGUGGAUCACUUGAGCUCAGGAGUUCGAGACCAGCCUUGCCAACACAGUGAAACCUCAUCUCUACUAAAGAUACAAAAAUUAGCCGGGUGUGGUGGCACACACCUGUAAUCCCAGCUACUUGGGAGGCUGAGGCAGGAGAAUCACUUGAACCUGGGAGGCGGAGGUUGCAGUGAGCCAAGAUCACGCCACUGUACUUCAGCCUGGACAACAAAGCAAGUUUCUAUAUCAAAACAAUAAAAAAAAAGCUGGG
rnacentral:lncRNA from 10 species